rnacentral:rRNA from 1 species
AAAUGGAUAACUGUAAUAACUCUAGAGCUAAUACAUGCCACGAAGCCCUGACCCGCGAGGGAAUGGGUGCACUUAUUAGAUCAGAAGCCAACCGGGUAGGCUGCUUCGGUAGUCUGCUCGUUGCCUUUCUGGUGACUCUGGAUAAUUGUUACAGAUCGCAUCGGCCUUGAGUCGGCGACGGGUCCUUCAAAUGUCUGCCCUAUCAACUUUCGAUGGUAGGUGAUCUGCCUACCAUGGUGAUAACGGGUAACGGGGAAUCAGGGUUCGAUUCCGGAGAGGGAGCCUGAGAAACGGCUACCACUUCCAAGGGAGGCAGCAGGCGCGCAAAUUACCCACUCCCAGUACGGGGAGGUGGUGACGAAAAAUACCGAUGCGGGACUCAUAAACGAGGCUCCGUAAUCGGAAUGAGUGAACUCUAAAUCCUUUCACGAGGAUCAAUUGGAGGGCAAGUCUGGUGCCAGCAGCCGCGGUAACUCCAGCUCCAAUAGCGUAUAUUAAAGUUGCUGCAGUUAAAAAGCUCGUAGUUGGAUCUCGGUAUCACUGUUUCCUGCCAUACCUCGAUCAGUUGGGCUAGCGAUUCAUGGGUUCCGCUCGUGUUUCCUAGUUCGAUUGCUUUGAGUUGGCGUGGUAGCGGUGUCACCUUUCAGCCAUGUCUGUGGUGAAAUACCCACAGGUGUAGGCGAGUGUCAGGCGGUGCUUUACUUCACGUACGGUCCGUCGGCUCGUUUGCAUGCCUUUGGAUGCCCUUCAAAAGGUGUCUGUGGGCGGAUGGCACGUUUACUUUGAACAAAUUUGAGUGCUCAAACCAGGCCGAUGUUGCCUGAAAAGUUUUGCAUGGAAUAAUGGAAUAGGACUUUCGGUUCUAUUUUGUUGGUUUUCGGAUCCGAAGUAAUGAUCAAAAG